rnacentral:rRNA from 1 species
GCAAGUCGAGCGAGAGGAGAAAGCUUGCUUUCAAUCUAGCGGCGGACGGGUGCGUAACGCGUGGGUAAUCUGCCCUUGUCAUUGGGAUAACUCAUCGAAAGGUGGGCUAAUACCAAAUAACAUGUUUUGUAGGCAUCUACGAAACAUCAAAGCUUUUGCGGACAAGGAUGAGCCCGCGUCUGAUUAGCUUGUUGGUGGGGUAACGGCCUACCAAGGCGACGAUCAGUAGCCGACCUGAGAGGGUGAUCGGCCACACUGGAACUGAGACACGGUCCAGACUCCUACGGGAGGCAGCAGUGGGGAAUAUUGCACAAUGGGCGAAAGCCUGAUGCAGCAACGCCGCGUGAGCGAUGAAGGCCUUCGGGUCGUAAAGCUCUGUCCUCAAGGAAGAAUUUUGACGGUACUUGAGGAGGAAGCCCCGGCUAACUACGUGCCAGCAGCCGCGGUAAUACGUAGGGGGCUAGCGUUAUCCGGAAUUACUGGGCGUAAAGGGUGCGUAGGUGGUCUGACAAGUCAGGGGUGAAAGGCUACGGCUCAACCGUAGUAAGCCCUUGAAACUGUCGGACUUGAGUGCAGGAGAGGAAAGUGGAAUUCCCAGUGUAGCGGUGAAAUGCGUAGAUAUUAGGAGGAACAUCCAUGGCGAAGGCAGCUUUCUGGACUGUUAUUGACACUGAGGCACGAAAGCGUGGGGAGCAAACAGGAUUAGAUACCCUGGUAGUCCACGCCGUAAACGAUGAGUACUAGGUGUCGGGGGUCG